UGACCAUUAGCUUAAUUCGGUAGAGCGCUGGACUGUUAAUCCGGGAGAUACAGGUUCGAGUCCUGUAUGGUCAG
rnacentral:tRNA from 1 species